rnacentral:misc_RNA from 1 species
UCUCCGUUGGUGAACCAGCGGAGGGAUCAUUACAGAGUUAUCUAACUCCCAAACCAUUGUGAACUUACCAUAUGUUGCCUCGGCAGAACCUACCCUGUAGCGGGCUGCCGGCGGACCAAUAAACUCUUGUUAUUCUAUGGAUAUCUGAGCGUCUUAUUUUAAUAAGUCAAAACUUUCAACAACGGAUCUCUUGGUUCUGGCAUCGAUGAAGAACGCAGC